UAUCACUCACAGUGCCUCCACGACCUCCGAGAGAAACAUUGUUGAAAAGGUGGCCGUCGGUCAUGGCAGAGAAUCGAGUUGUGGGGAUGCAAAAAGAGUUCGGGCGUCGGAGAAAAGACUUGGCGCGAAUCGGAUGAUGAGAAGCUGGCCAAGAUCAUCGGCAUGAUAGAAAGACUGACUGAUGGCCCAAACAAACCAACAUGGGGUCAAAAGGCCGCGGCCAAGCUAACCAUGGAACUCGAGGCAUGGGCAAAUGGGAAGGGAGGUGAGACCAUUAUGGGUGCCGAAGCAACUACAAUUGCUUUAACGGGAGCUACUGUUGGUAUUGAAAAUGUCUUCAGUACUUUGAUCCAUUCCGUGGCGCAAAAUUCAUCAUUUACUAACCACUCAUUUGUUUAUGCUAUUUUGAGCUUUGCUCUAGCCCAAGCUAUUGCAUUGUUUGUUUUAAUGAUGACCUUUUUUUUAAUCUCA